rnacentral:rRNA from 1 species
CCUACGGGAGGCAGCAGUGGGGAAUAUUGCACAAUGGGGGAAACCCUGAUGCAGCGACGCCGCGUGAGUGAAGAAGUAUUUCGGUAUGUAAAGCUCUAUCAGCCGGGAAGAAGCAAGACGGUACCUGACUAAGAAGCGCCGACUAACUACGUGCCAGAAGCCGCGGUAAUACGGAGGGGGCACGCGUUAUCCGGAUUUACUGGGUGUAACGGGAGCGUAGACGGUAUGGCAAAUCUGAAGUGAAAGCCCAGGGCAUAACCCCGGGACUGCUUUUGAAACUGGUAGACUAGAGUGCUGGAGAGGUAAGUGGAAUUCCUAGUGUAGCGGUGAAAUGCGUAGAUAUUAGGAGGAACACCAGUGGCGAAGGCGGCUUACUGGACAGUAACUGACGUUGAGGCUCGAAAGCGUGGGGAGCAAACAGGAUUAGAUACCCCAGUAGUC